ACUUCCGGGUGUUGUCUGGCCGCCGUAGCGCGUCUUGGGUCUCCCGGCUGCCGCUGCUGCCGCCGCCGCCUCGGGUCGUGGAGCCAGGAGCGACGUCACCGCCAUGGCAGGCAUCAAAGCAAAUACUGGCCCCUCUUUGUUCUAUUUUUUUACAUCCUUUCACCUAUUCCAUACUGCAUAGCAAGAAGAUUAGUGGAUGAUACAGAUGCUAUGAGUAACGCUUGUAAGGAACUUGCCAUCUUUCUUACAACGGGCAUUGUCGUGUCAGCUUUUGGACUCCCUAUUGUAUUUGCCAGAGCACAUCUGAUUGAGUGGGGAGCUUGUGCACUUGUUCUCACAGGAAACACAGUCAUCUUUGCAACUAUACUAGGCUUUUUCUUGGUCUUUGGAAGCAAUGACGACUUCAGCUGGCAGCAGUGGUGAAAAGAAAUUACUGAACUAUUGUCAAAUGGACUUCCUGUCAUUUGUUGGCCAUUCACGCACACAGGAGAUGGGGCAGUUAAUGCUGAAUGGUAUAGCAAGCCUCUUGGGGGUAUUUUAGGUGCUCCCUUCUCACUUUUAUUGUAAGCAUACUAUUUUCACAGAGACU
rnacentral:lncRNA from 1 species